rnacentral:lncRNA from 1 species
UUGUCCGAAGUGUUGAAAAUCCCCCUUUUUUAUGAAUAAAGCCCCAUAAAUCCAAAACUUAAAAUCUGAAAUUUAUAAAAAUUGAAAGGGAGCUUACAUCAAUAGAUAUAAACAAUUCACCAAAGUUUCAUGGACAUUGGUGAAAGCCUUUUUGAGUUAUUGUCCGAAGUGUUGAAAAUUCCCCCUUUUUUAUGAAUAAAGCCCCAUUAAUCCAAAACUUAAAAUCUGAAAUUAAAAAAA